AAAGCAUCUAAGUGUGAAGCCCACCUCAAGAUGAGAUUUCCCAUUUCUUUAAGAAAGUAAGACCCCUGAGAGAUGAUUAGGUAGAUAGGUUGGAAGUGGAAGGCUAGUGAUAGUUGGAGCGGACCAAUACUAAUCGGUCGAGGACUUAACCAA
rnacentral:rRNA from 1 species